rnacentral:rRNA from 1 species
GACGAACGCUGGCGGCGUGCUUAACACAUGCCAGUCGAACGGAAAGGCCCUGCUUUUGUGGGGUGCUCGAGUGGCGAACGGGUGAGUAACACGUGAGUAACCUGCCCUUGACUUUGGGAUAACUUCAGGAAACUGGGGCUAAUACCGGAUAGGAGCUCCUGCUGCAUGGUGAGGGUUGGAAAGUUUCGGCGGUUGGGGAUGGACUCGCGGCUUAUCAGCUUGUUGGUGGGGUAGUGGCCUACCAAGGCUUUGACGGGUAGCCGGCCUGAGAGGGUGACCGGCCACAUUGGGACUGAGAGACGGCCCAGACUGCUACGGGAGGCAGCAGUGGGGAAUAUUGCACAACGGGCGGAAGCCUGAGGCAGCAACGCCGCGUGCGGGAUGACGGCCUUCGGGGUGUAAACCGCUUUCGCCUGUGACGAAGCGUGAGUGACGGUAAUGGGUAAAGAAGCACCGGCUAACUACGUG